rnacentral:rRNA from 1 species
CUUCGGGGACAUUGGUGACAGGUGGUUCAUGGUUGUCGUCAGCUCUGGUCGGUGGGUGUUGGUGUAAGUCCCGCAACGAGCGCAACCCUUGUCUUUAGUUGCCAUCAUUAAGUUGGGCACUCUAGAGAGACUGCCAGGGAUAACCUGGAGGAAGGUGGGGAUGACGUCAAAUCAUCAUGCCCCUUAUGCUUAGGGCUACACACGUGCUACAAUGGGUAGUACAGAGGGUUGCCAAGCCGUAAGGUGGAGCUAAUCCCUUAAAGCUACUCUCAGUUCGGAUUGUAGGCUGAAACUCGCCUACAUGAAGCUGGAGUUACUAGUAAUCGCAGAUCAGAAUGCUGCGGUGAAUGCGUUCCCGGGUCUUGUACACACCGCCCGUCACACCACGGGAGUUGGAGACGCCCGAAGCCGAUUAUCUAACCUUUUGGAAGAAGUCGUCGAAGGUGGAAUCAAUAACUGGGGUGAAGUCGUAACAAGGUAGCCGUAUCGGAAGGUGCGGCUGGAUCACCUCCUUUCUAAGGA